rnacentral:rRNA from 1 species
AUUGAACGCUGGCGGCAUGCUUUACACAUGCAAGUCGAACGGUAACAGGCCGCAAGGUGCUGACGAGUGGCGAACGGGUGAGUAAUGCAUCGGAGCGCGCCCAGUCGUGGGGGAUAACGCAGCGAAAGCUGUGCUAAUACCGCAUACGAUCUAUGGAUGAAAGCGGGGGACCGUAAGGCCUCGCGCGAUUGCAGCGGCCGAUGUCAGAUUAGGUAGUUGGUGGGGUAAAGGCUCACCAAGCCAACGAUCUGUAGCUGGUCUGAGAGGACGACCAGCCGCACUGGGACUGGGACACGGCCCAGACUCCUACGGGAGGGAGCAGUGGGGAAUUUUGGACAAUGGGCGCAAGCCUGAUCCAGCAAUGCCGCGUGCAGGAAGAAGGCCUUCGGGUUGUAAACUGCUUUUGUACGGAACGAAAAGGUUUGGGUUAAUACCCUGGGCCGAUGACGGUACCGUAAGAAUAAGCACCGGCUAACUACGUGCCAGCCGCCGCAGUAAGAC